rnacentral:rRNA from 1 species
GGGGGAUAUUGCGCAAUGGGGGAAACCCUGACGCAGCGACGCCGCGUGAAGGAAGAAGGUCUUCGGAUCGUAAACUUCUUUGAUUAGGGAAGAAUAAUGACAGUACCUAAAGAACAAGCCACGGCUAACUACGUGCCAGCAGCCGCGGUAAUACGUAGGUGGCGAGCGUUGUCCGGAAUUACUGGGUGUAAAGGGCGUGUAGGCGGGACUGCAAGUCAGAUGUGAAAGACCGAGGCUCAACCUCGGGGCUGCAUUUGAAACUGUAGUUCUUGAGUGCAGGAGAGGGAAGUGGAAUUCCUAGUGUAGCGGUGAAAUGCGUAGAUAUUAGGAGGAACACCAGUGGCGAAGGCGGCUUCCUGGACUGCAACUGACGCUGAGGCGCGAAAGCGUGGGUAGCGAAC